UACGGAGGGGGCAAGCGUUGUUCGGAAUUACUGGGGGUAAAGCGCGCGUAGGCGGCUGGGUAAGUCAGAUGUGAAAGCCCUCGGCUCAACCGGGGAACUGCGUCUGAUACUGCCUGGCUUGAGUCCGGUAGGGGGUAGCGGAAUUCCCGGUGUAGCGGUGGAAUGCGUAGAUAUCGGGAGGAAUACCGAUGGCGAAUGCGGCGACCUGGGCCGGUAGUGAGGCUGAGGCGCGAAAUCUAGGGGAGCAAACAGG
rnacentral:rRNA from 1 species